rnacentral:lncRNA from 1 species
AGAGACAAAAAAGAAAGAAGCAAAAGCAUAGAAGGGAGAGGACUUUCGAAGACUUUCAAUGAAGGGUACUAGCCCUAGGGCGAACAAAGAGCCGAUGAUUUUAGUUAUACAAGCAAAUCGGUAGCGAAAAGAGAGACAGGACUUACUAAGGCUUUAAGGAGUUCCAGUGAAGGCUUCUCUGUCUAGGGCAAACGGAGAGCCGCCGAUUUCAAUUACACUAGUUUUCAGUAAUUUUAAAUUUUUAACUACUUGAUAAAUCUCAAAUUUAUUUUUCAUACUCUAACUACUUGAUAACAUUUAGUUUUUUUUUUUUUAAAUUAACUUUAUGUGUACAUGUUUAUUUCAUGCAUCAUCAUAACUUACGUGGAUAAGUAUUGCAUGUUACGUUGUUAGCAACUGAUAAUCCCAGAAGGAAUAAAUGAGGAAGGUUGAAUAGUUUUGGUUAUAUAUUCUUACCUCGGCGCCUUGUAUAUAUGGAUUGAACAUUGCAUAAACAAUUUUUUUUUUGGUCUAAAUGUUAUGCAUAAACAAAUUAAUUUUAUGUACUUACUUAUUUUAAGUUCUUUUAAAUAUUAUGAAAUAACAAAAUAAAAUAGAUACAUAUUCAAUAAUUGAGAAGCAUAAAAUAUUAAUUUAG